GACGAACGCUGGCGGCGUGCUUAACACAUGCAAGUCGAACGGUGAAGCGCCUUCCUUUUUGGUGGGUGUGGAUGAGUGGCGAACGGGUGAGUAACACGUGAGUAACCUGCCCCCUUCUUCUGGAUAACCGCAUGAAAGUGUGGCUAAUACGGGAUAUUCUGGGUCUGUCGCAUGAUGGGUCUGGGAAAGAUAUUGUUUCGGUGGGGGAUGGGCUCGCGGCCUAUCAGCUUGUUGGUGGGGUGAUGGCCUACAAAGGCGGUGACGGGUAGCCGGCCUGAGAGGGUGGACGGUCACACUGGGACUGAGACACGGCCCAGACUCCUACGAGAGGCAGCAGUGGGGAAUAUUGCACAAUGGGCGCAAGCCUGAUGCAGCGACGCCGCGUGAGGGAUGGAGGCCUUCGGGUUGUGAACCUCUUUCGCCAGUGAAGCAGGCCUGCCUCGUUUGUGGGUGGGUUGACGGUAGCUGGAGAAGAAGCGCCGGCUAACUACGUG
rnacentral:rRNA from 1 species